rnacentral:rRNA from 1 species
GGAGGAAAGUAGGGGAUCGCAAGACCUUGCGCUUUUGGAGCGGCCGAUGUCUGAUUAGCUAGUUGGUGAGGUAAAGGCUUACCAAGGCUUCGAUCAGUAGCUGGUCUGAGAGGACGACCAGCCACACUGGGACUGAGACACGGCCCAGACUCCUACGGGAGGCAGCAGUGGGGAAUUUUGGACAAUGGGGGAAACCCUGAUCCAGCCAUGCCGCGUGAGUGAAGAAGGCCUUCGGGUUGUAAAGCUCUUUCAGCCGGAACGAAAAGGUUACGGUUAAUACCCGUGACUAAUGACGGUACCGGAAGAAGAAGCACCGGCUAACUACGUGCCAGCAGCCGCGGUAAUACGUAGGGUGCGAGCGUUAAUCGGAAUUACUGGGCGUAAAGCGUGCGCAGGCGGUUUUGUAAGUCAGAUGUGAAAUCCCCGGGCUCAACCUGGGAACUGCGUUUGAAACUACAAGGCUAG